rnacentral:lncRNA from 1 species
UUGUCAAACGACCCGUAAAUCGAGUCGAGCUUCUCGAAAGCGGACUUGGUCCAGAUCACAAACCGACCCAAAUGCCCACCAGGAGCGAGCUUCAGCAGGUUGAGCCUCUCCACAUUGAUAAUCUCGACACCGGGGAGGUUCCUGAAAGCCUUCACCAGCUUAGCCCCUUCAGUUCCGUACACAAUCAGAGGUCCCUUGCGGUUGAUGUACCUCCUGUUCCUCAUCUUACCCUUUCCAGGGCGAAUCGCGUGGCUGUCCUUUGCCUUCUCGGCGUCGGCGUAAGCCCCAAUCUGCUUCAGAAGCUUCAGAGCAGCCGAAGUCUUCUCCACGCCCUCAGCCGAGUCGCUGACAACAAGAGGAAGCUCCGGAACGGUCUCGAUUUUGUGACCGCGGGCCAUGACCAGAGAGGGAACGGCAGAAGCCGCAAUCGCCGAAACGAUGGCGUAUCGCUUCUGGUUCACGUUGAUCCUUCGGUGCCAGCGGCGCCAGAUCUUGGUGGGAGCGAACAUGCGCCCGCCACGGCACAUGUUUCCGAAGGCUCCCUGCCCGGCGCGGUGGGUCCCGCCACCGGGAACACGAGGGAUACGCGAGACGGCGCGUCCAGUUCCCCAGGACUCGGCUGAGGUCUGGUGACCGGCCUUCUUGGAAACCGCGUAGGGCUGGCGGCUGUUGUUCGACAUUUGGGAGUGGACGGCUGUGACGACGUCGGGGCGGAUCGGCACCUUCAUGACGUCGGGUAAGGCGACGGUCUGGCACUGAUCGGUGGCCAUGUCGCCGUCAAGGGUUUGGACAGUGACGAGGGGGCGAGCGGCGGCGGCCAUUUCUAAGAGUG